GACGAACGCUGGCGGCGUGCCUAAUGCAUGCAAGUCGAACGGUCUUUUCUAUGGAAGCUUGCUUCCACUGAGAAGAUAGUGGCGAACGGGUGAGUAACACGUGGGUAACCUGCCCAUAAGAGGGGGAUAACAUCCGGAAACGGGUGCUAAUACCGCAUAGUUUUUCUGAUCGCAUGAUCGGGAAAGGAAAGACGGCCUUUGUGCUGUCGCUUAUGGAUGGACCCGCGGCGUAUUAGUUAGUUGGUGAGGUAACGGCUCACCAAGACGAUGAUACGUAGCCGACCUGAGAGGGUGAUCGGCCACAGUGGGACUGAGACACGGCCCAAACUCCUACGGGAGGCAGCAGUAGGGAAUCUUCCGCAAUGGACGAAAGUCUGACGGAGCAACGCCGCGUGAGUGAAGAAGGUUUUCGGAUCGUAAAACUCUGUUGUCAGAGAAGAACAAGUCGGAGAGUAACUGCUCCGGCCUUGACGGUAUCUGACCAGAAAGCCACGGCUAACUACGUGCCAGCAGCCGCCGUAACAC
rnacentral:rRNA from 1 species